rnacentral:rRNA from 1 species
UACGUAGGUGACAAGCGUUAUCCGGAAUUACUGGGCGUAAAGAGUGUGUAGGUGGUGUCGUAAGUUUGGUGUGAAAUCUCCCGGCUUAACUGGGAGGGUGCGCCGAAUACUGGCGGGCUUGAGUAUUGGAGAGGAAAGCGGAAUUCCUGGUGUAGCGGUGAAAUGCGUAGAUAUCAGGAGGAACACCGGUGGUGUAGACGGCUUUCUGGACAAUCACUGACGCUGAGGUACGAAAGCGUGGGUAGCAAACAGG